rnacentral:lncRNA from 1 species
GAAGGCUUUUCUAAUUAUGAAUCAAAAUCCAGAGGCCCUGAUAAAAAAUGUGAGUGAAUUUGGAAAUGUUAAAUAUUUUGUUUUGUUUUCAUGGCUCAAACUCCACAGUACUUCAAGAGAUCCGUUGCAAACCUGCAAAAAAUUUGCAACCCAUAUCACAGGAAAUUUUAAUAUGGGAGCUGUGGAGGAAAGAAGAUAAGACUUUCAAGGUAGCAAGACAAUGUUCUUUUUUGUGGUAUCUAAUAGAACUAUCUCUCCCUACAGGGAGAGAAAAAGGCAACUGGAGGAUUAGGGGCA